UGUUGUUACUUUUUUUCGGAUAAGGUGAAGGUUGCCAUACUCGUCACAUCAUCAUGAAUGAUAAUUCCAUUCAAAAUAUAUUUUGCAGACAGAAAAUAAAACAACAUCACCCACCACCUCUCGAGAGACCAGUCUCAUAUGAAACCUUUACGUCUGUGCAUACGAUUUUUCUCUGAGAAAAAUUACAUCAAAAACAACAAAGUUGAAUGGGACACUUAAAUGAAAUGUGUCUAUUACGUGGUGUUUGUGAUUUAAAAUGCGGACCGAUUGGUAAAAGAGUGAUUACAUAAUUGAAGUAACAGCGCUGCUUUACUUUUAUUUUAUUACUAAAUAAAUGCCAGUCUGCCUGUCGGUCGGGUAGCGUAGCUUCCUUGAAGUUGUUCUUUUGUUCUUUCUCAGAAAAACGUAGGCUAUACGCAGUAAUUCUCAGGAUACAAAUAUUUUGGUUCUGCGGUGUGCAUAGUUCUACAUAAUAUCUAAUAUAGUGGUGAAAGGACGUUGGUUAGUGGUGGAAAGGUGUAAAAUAUUUCGGAAAUUUUGGGGAAACUUUCGGGAAAAUUGGGGAAUAUUUCGGGAAAAUUGGGAAAUAUUUCGGGAAUAUUGUAGAAUAUUUCGGGAAUAUUGUAGAAUAUUUCGGGAACUUCUGGAAUAUUUCGGAUUAAUAGACUAAUGUCACAAAAUGUCGGAACCGUCCCUGUCAACCUCGUCGGAGUCACUGGCCAGCCUGUUGGAACUGCGGUAUGAUGAUCCCUCCUCAUCAUCUCCGCCAAGAAGUCCGAUAACUUUGGAACCAAUAAUUCUGCAAAAUUUGCCACCUCGCGUGACCACUCCAAUAUUUCGAAACUCGUUUUUCUACAAUCACGCAAUGUUCACCGGAGAUCCGUCCGCCAAAUCUGUGAGCAGCAGUGGGUGUGGUGGGGAAGACCUCUCUUGGGACAUUAAUGGCAACUGGGGUUUAACAAAGAGCAAUAAUUAUUCGCCUUCUUGGGGGGAUGAAGAUGCCAAAAAUUCAUACAAGGAUUUUUGGAGCGUGGAAGUUCUGGAUUUCGAAAAGGAUCCAAAUUUCAAACAUAUUCAGUCAAACAGUAACAAUAUUAAUCAACCAUGUUCAAUAUUUUCUUCGAUUUGUGCUUGUUUUUUGUACUCUUUGGCAGAAUGUUUUCUGGGUUAGUAGAUAUUUACGAGUUUAUUGUGAUUUUAUUGCAGUGACAUAUUUGUAAUAUUAUUUAUGUACGAAUAAAUGGCGAGCUUUACUAAGA